rnacentral:rRNA from 1 species
AUUGAACGCUGGCGGCAGGCCUAACACAUGCAAGUCGUACGAGUGGCGGACGGGUGAGUAAUGUCUGGGAAACUGCCCGAUGGAGGGGGAUAACUACUGGAAACGGUAGCUAAUACCGCAUACCAUCGGAUGUGCCCAGCUGGGAUUAGCUAGUAGGGGGGGUACCGGCUCACCUAGGCGACCAUCCCUAGCUGGUCUGAGAGGAUGACCAGCCACACGGGAACUGGGACACGGUCCAGACUCCUACGGGAGGCAGCAGUGGGGAAUAUUGCACAAUGGGCGAAAGCCUGAUGCAGCCAUGCCGCGUGUAUGAAGAAGGCCUUCGGGUUGUAAAGUACUUUCAGCGGGGAGGCGUUACUCGCAGAAGAAGCACCGGCUAACUCCGUGCCAGCAGCCGCGGUAAUAC